UCUCAUAGAUGGAGCCUGGUAGGCUACAGUCCAUGGGGUUGCAAAGAGUCAGACAUGACGGAGCAACUUCCCUUCCUGUUAACAAAAUUCCUUUGCACUUUGUAGAAACCAUAACUUCCAUAAAUUAGACAUACUUUUAUUUUUUUUUAGGGUCAUGUUAAUAUAAUUUUGUGCUUUACUUAUUUACUUUUUAUGAUCUUUAAAGGCAAGAUUUUAAGAUUCUUGUGUCACAGAUUUUUUCAGAUAGUAAAGUCCUAUCUAGUCCCCUGGGAAGUCCCCUCAGAGUACUACUCACACCUUUUGAAAGAGUUCUGGUGUGAGUUAGUUUGAGCAGAAAAUCACCCCCAGAGGGAAGUAUAUGAAAGUAUGUUACUGAAAAAAGGAGUAAGCUAAUACAGUGCCUAGGUUACUUUUAUGUGUUAGAAGAAACACUCUGAGCAGGUUCACCUGAAAGUCCCAUCUUUAAAUGGCUCUCCACCUUGGGAGCUGUCUGCCAGCUCCCGAGUGCCUGACAAAUGUGUGUGAAGCUGAGUGCUUGGGCAGAGGCCCACAGUGGAGUCAGGAGGGCCUCCAUUAGGGCCUCCAUUAGGGCCUCUCACUGCCUGCAGGGCAUGUCCAUAACAUUGUGACCGGUGUCACUAAGAGUUGGUGCUGUCAUCUGUCACUCCUCACAGCAUCUGUUAAGUCGAGGGAGCAGCCCAGGCCUCCAGGGCCAGUGGUGAGUGUAGCCCCUGGUAAAGAGAUUGUGUCCUGUCUGCGGGACAUUGAGAUGGCACUCACAUCGCAGGUCACAAUAUCCACCUACCCCCAACUUCUUCCUGGAAGGAGGAGUAGUGAGAUAAUUGCUCUCUUUACACAAAGAUCAGUUGUGUAACCACUGUCUCAGUUACACUCCUAUUGUGAAUGGUCAGGAGGCGCCAAAAGAAAAUGGUCAUAGACAAAAAGUGUCAAAUGCGAAUCCCAAGUGACCAUAGUGGAUUUACACAGCUUUGAGAGAUGGUCCUCCCUGACUGUUAAUGGAGAAUGUGUUUGAUGGUGGGUUUGCUGUGGCAGCUAGGCACACUUCUCAUUUUUCAACGUGGGAAUUCUUUCUCUGAAUGGUGCCUGUGAAGGCCAGUGAGGAUCUAAUAGCUCCCUUUCACCUUAGUGCCACACAUUGGUGACCAGGAUUGCAGAGAAAAGAGCAGCUACCGAGCCCCAGGUUGCCUGUUGGAGCUGAUGGCUAAGCAGAGUCUUAACUGCUGGACUGCUGGGGAAUUCCCUACAAGGUGGUUUGGAUUUGUGGAUGAAGGACCUAGAAAGAGAAGCAUGCAAUCUGUGACUUGCGGAGGAUUCUGGUGGAGAGACGUUAUCACGUAGUUAUCACUUACCCCUCAUCCGCUGAUGGCUACCAAAACAAUGUAAAAGCUUAAAGAAGCACACAGAUGAGAUAAGAAAAGUCCAUGGAGGGGCCAGAAAGAACACCAGAAGCUAAGCGUCUAUGGAGAGAUGCCAGAUGCUGUUGCCUCUACAUGUCAGAAGUUGGGAUGGAAAAAUUCUACAUAAAGAAUACUUGCCUUUGUCUUUGACCUUUUAGUUAAGAAUUGAAGACAGUUUUCCUUGGUGGGGAUACCAUUGGCUUCUAGAUAUGAUUGCUUUGUGCUUGGUGUUGAUAAAAAUGUGAGCAGGCCUGGGAGUUGUAUGGUUUUCUCAUUAUCCAAAUGCUAGCUCUUAGAGGCCACCAAGUUUGGUCUGAUGCAGAGCCUCCUGUAUGGAUGGAUGUGAGGAUGAAGUAAGAUCAAAUAUUAUAGCUGUGUUCAUGCUACCUGUUCUUACUCCCACCCAGCUUAUCAAACUUCCUGCCAAAAUCAGGCCAACUGCUCUCCCAACGUGUCUGAAAGAACCCUCGGAACAGACGUGAGAGGCUGGAGAGAUGGGGAUUCUUAGAAUGCUAAAAGUGAGAGCUGGAAACACAUCCUUCCAUCUUUGCCCAAACUGGACAGUUCUUUAUUAACUCAUUAUUGACUGGGAGAUUUUUGCAGAAAGUAAUGCCUGUGGCCAGUGAUUUUUAUUUUGGCUGGUUGAAAAUUAAUUCUGUUACUUCACUAACACUUUGAGGGUUCUUGCAUUCAAUAGUUACCCCUGAUACACCUGUAAAGUCUUCUCCAGCACCAUGAGUUUCAUUUUCACUUUCCAUAUAAGAAUCAAUCACUGAAGUUUUUUGUCUUUUUGUUGGCCUAAUAUUCACAUCAUCUGAAUCAGAACUAUGUUCUGAAGAACUGUCAUCUUCUGAGACACUGGUAUAUAUGUCUCUCAGACAAUCAGAGAAAGUAUCUGAAUAAAAUUCACUGAAACAUUCUUCUUCACUCAAAAUUUUGCAAUGCAUCAUGUUUGAAAAUUUUAUGGUAAUUAACUUAUGUUUAUAAUAUAUACGAAGUUGGAACAAAAACCCAACAGAGCAAAACGUGAAUGAUAAUGACAAUCAUAAGUUGUAUGAUAAUCAGUGUUAAGCUCCAACAGCUUCACACAGUGAUGUUAACUGUAUCAUUCUGUCAAAACAUAUUGUCAUGUCUCAGGUCAGUAAUGUGUUAAGUCACCAACAGUCUCACAGCCCACUCAUCUUCCUUCCUCCUUGCUCCAGAAGGGACUUAAAUCAACCAAUAGAAAUAGACAAGUUAAAAAAGACAACGUGAAACUGGAAAGAGAAAAUGAGGGUGGGGAAGCCUGGCUGGGCACAUUGGCUGAUCUGAGCCUGAGUCCCCAGGGAAUGGGCCCUGACUUUUGGGGUUCCCCAAGGCUGGAUCCCCAUCUGUGCUAUGAAUCAGUGUAGGGCCCCUGAGUUCUGCUUGGCCAUUGAGGCACCCGUGCUCCUGGGGAGUUGCAGCUUUUCUUUCUUUUUUUUCCCUUUGCAUUGAACUAUCUCCAAAUCCUAUUUAGAUUCAUUAUCUUGAAAUAAAAAGACCAACAAUCACCAAACACAGUGGAAGUGAGGAAAGUGCCCCCAAUGGGCAGCAUGGCCUGAACUGGAUGUGAAGGCCCGCCCAGAAGCAGAGGAGAGCUAGGGGUGCUGCUGGCAGGUGGAUGCUGAGGUCAGGCUCAUGCGGCCUGGGAAUGGGGCUAGAAGACCAGAAAGUCCAGCUCCAUUGUAAAUUUAAUGUGAAGUGAUUAAGAAGUGGUUUUAAAGCAAUCAAUGUCAUCUACACUAGGUGUAUUUUGUAACUUCACAUAAUUCUGUAAAAUAUGGUUCACUUUUCCUAGACAAUCACACAGACAUUAAAGGUUUAUGCACAGGUGGGAGCAGCAGAGACAGGUGGAUCUCUUUGCAGUGAAAGGAGAGGCAUCACAGCAGCAAAAUGUGUCUUUGGAGAAGAGGGUGCGGUAAACUCUCUCUUGUUUCUGUCUCUUCGGUUUGAUUAGUGCAAUUGGCUUGCUUUAUCAUGAUUAGCCCUGGAUCAUCAAUAGUCUCUAUUCUUUAGCUCCUCUGAUCAGCACAAGAGAAGGGAUUUCCAGCAUUACUUACAAAAAUGAAUUCUUCUGUAGCAUGAAACAGACACUAGCAUUGACGUUGAAGACCCCAGACUUCUCAGACUUCUGUUCUCAAGAUCCUUUGUAGUCUCAUAAAUGAUUGAGGAGCCAAAGACCUUUUAUUCAUGUGUGGUAAAUGUAUUCCUAUUUACUGUAUUAGAACU